UUUCUGAAUUUUCACCUUCGAGUUGCUUCCAAUUUGCUUGAUCUUGAUCUGGAUUUGCUUGAUUCUUCUUCCUCUUGCUUGCAGUGAUCAAUUGAGAUGAAAAGGGCAAUGAAUUCUUGGAGUUUGAAUUUCAAAACAGAAGGUGAAAUUCAAACUCGAUUUUAAUUGAAAUCUUCAAGAAUUCUAUGGAUUGAGGAGUUUGAGUUGUCUUGGCAAAGCUUGGACAAGGUGUUAAUAAAGUUCUGAGCUCAUUGCAC
rnacentral:lncRNA from 1 species